rnacentral:lncRNA from 1 species
GGUUAUUUGGAAAUACGAUAAAUUAGUAGUUAGUAUAGAGGGUUCUCCCACUUACAAAUGGAGAAGAGCCUGUACAUUUCAUAUUCACAGAAAGUUUUCCUGCAUUCAAAGACUUGUCACUGGACCCAAGCCACAUGUGUAGUUGGGGUCAACAUGAUUAUCACUGGACUCUGCUCGUAAAUCCUCCUCUACUCUUGUCUAAAGGAAUUCAAGCCCACAUUUAAAUCUUGUCAGCUUCAUAGUUGUUGGCUUUGCUGUGGCCUACGCUCCCUAUUUUCAUUCAGAUUCUGAGCCCUGGAUAAAAUGCAGAGAGUCUAACCCUCUCCACCC